rnacentral:rRNA from 1 species
UACGUAGGGUGCAGGCGUUGUCCGGAAUUAUUGGGCGUAAAGAGCUCGUAGGCGGUUUGUCGCGUCUGCUGUGAAAUUUCGGGGCUCAACCCCGAACUUGCAGUGGGUACGGGCAGACUAGAGUGUGGUAGGGGAGACUGGAAUUCCUGGUGUAGCGGUGAAAUGCGCAGAUAUCAGGAGGAACACCGGUGGCGAAGGCGGCAUCCUGGACCGGCAUUGACGCUGAGGCGCGAAAGCCAGGGGAGCAAACGGG